AUUUUUAAAGGAUGACUGAGUCGAAGAAAAGCUAUUCCAUUUUUUAAAUCUAUUAUUAUUAAUUUAUGAUGUUUUAUUUGAUGAUAAAUAAUCAUUAUGCCAUUUCCUUAAUUUCCUGGUCCUUAAUUUCUAGAAAAAAAAGUCCUUAAUUUUUUUUGAUAACAGUCCUUUAAAGUGCUUAAUUUUUGCUUUGAUAAAAGAGUGGGAACCCUGCGGGUUGGGUUCGGUGAGAUUCUUGCAUUCUCAUGUGUGACUCUGUUGCAAUUUGCAAGAUAUUCUCAAUUUCAGGCUUCAUUUUCCACCCUCUGAAAUCGAACCGAAAAAUCUCUCAAUCAUUUUAUGGUGGCUAAUGUAAUCAAGAAAAAAAUUCUCUAUCAGAAACAAGUUAUUUUAUCAUAAUCAUGAAAAGUCUUUGAUUACUAGUUUGGAUUUUGUUAAUAUUUUUAGUGCUUAAAAAGUAUUUAAAAGGUGCUUAUUUUUUGUUGAAAGAUUUGACUGCGCACCCUGAUCUAAUGAACAAGAGAACAAAUCACACAUAAACAACUGGAAAUUUGCAUAAAGAGAAAAUACAUACAAACCUGUUAGUCAGCUUGUCUUUACCUGUUUAAUAGUAAAUCGCUUGCAUGCAUUGUGAGGGAAAGAAAAAUACUUGGAACCUUGAGUAACACAUUAAAGAACUUAGUUAAAGAUGGUGAUCCAAACAGUGGGAAACCAUAUUGUGAAGAAGGCUAUGAAGAUGAAUAUGUAGACAGGAUGUUGCCUUUAUGAUGGAGAGUAGUAUUGUGUGAUUCAUGAUAGCUCUGGUAAGAAUUAUACUCUUAUGCUUCAAUAAAUUUUCGUACCGUUCAUAUGAAACGAAAGAUUCCG